rnacentral:rRNA from 1 species
UGGGGAAUAUUGGACAAUGGGGGCAACCCUGAUCCAGCAAUGCCGCGUGAGUGAUGAAGGCCUUCGGGUUGUAAAGCUCUUUCACCUGCGACGAUGAUGACGGUAGCAGGAGAAGAAGCCCCGGCUAACUUCGUGCCAGCAGCCGCGGUAAUACGAAGGGGGCUAGCGUUGUUCGGAGUUACUGGGCGUAAAGGGCGCGUAGGCGGCCUGGUAAGUUGGGAGUGAAAGCCCUGGGCUCAACCCGGGAAAUGCUCUUGAGACUGCCAGGCUUGAGGACGGGAGAGGAUGGUGGAAUUCCCAGUGUAGAGGUGAAAUUCGUAGAUAUUGGGAAGAACACCGGUGGCGAAGGCGGCCAUCUGGACCGUUUCUGACGCUGAGGCGCGAAAGCGUGGGGAGCAAACAGGAUUAGAUACCCCCGUAGUCC